rnacentral:misc_RNA from 1 species
CACCCAUCAUCGCUUGUCUAUUCUAUUCCCCGCCCCACCAGCCCACCUCUCGCUCCUCACCGCACACGUGCGCACCAACGCUCAUAGUCGCCACCAAAACCUCGGCCCGAGCCAACCCCGACUCGGGGUGCUCAACCUCCUCCUAGGCGUCAUCAACCUCCUCCUCGACGACGCGGGCAAGCCCGGUGGGGGCAGACAUGGCAUCAGAGGACAUGGUGGGGAAGAGCAGGGGCGACAUGGCUGUCACCACCACCAUCAACCUGGCAAAGGAGGCCAAGCUCGCACGCGAGGGGGUCAAGGCGCCCGGCCACCAGAUCCUCACCAUCUGCAAGUUGCUCAUCGUCGUCACCCUCCUCCUCCUCCUUGCCUUAGUUUUGUCCUCACCUACAUGGCUCCAUCUACCAUUGUGUUGGUCUAUGUGGGAGUUUCACUGAUUGGGUUCGGCUUUCGGGGUUGUUGAUGCUUUUGUUGUAUAGGCUACCCAUAGUGUGAUCAGUGUAGGUGUUGUCUGGCUCCUGAUAUAGGGAAUUGGGGGGAUUCCAUGCUGCUUGGCACGGGGUGUGCGUGCUUGGCUUGGUUUCGCUCAAAUUUGUGCCUGAUCGUUUGGAUUCGCCCCGGUCUUAAACCCUGCACGCGAGCCACUCAGAUCUCGGUUUGUUGACUGGUCACUUGGUUUGAUUCGCUCCGAAACCAUGCUGGGAGAUGCAUUGCCCAUGGACAAUUCUUCUCCACUCAUCUAAACCAUUUGCAAGAGGAUACUCAAGGGAUUCAUGCAGCGUUCUGCAGAGUUUUCUUAACUCGGGAUGGAAUGAAGAAAACAGGAAGCUUGUGUUCUAGAUAUACCGACAUGUCUUUCUCGUUUGGUCAGUGUUAAGUAAUAAC